rnacentral:tRNA from 1 species
UCCGGGGUAGCUCAAUCGGCAGAGCGGUGGCCUGUUAAGCCAAAGGUUGUGGGUUCGAGUCCCACCCCCGGAG